rnacentral:lncRNA from 1 species
AUCCAAAUGCACAACACGAAAUAGUCAUCCUUAUUUCUCUUAUAGUAAGCCUACAAGCACGCCAGUUUCAGACUUUUUGUACUUCUGACACGUGAUAUCUGACUUCAACUGCACAAACCCCAUUCUCUUGUCCGUAAGCUCAGUGAUUUCGAUGGUCCUGCCGACUGCGCCAGUAAAGUUCGUGUAAAGUGUUUGUUUCCAGUUCUUUCGUUUUCAAUGUGGUUCGUUAUCGAAGCACUCUUCUACGGACUCACCAUUAGCAGUUUUAAAUAUACAAGUUUAUUUACAUAAAAUAUAAAAUGUACAAAGUAUAAUACAUGAACCUGAUUCGUUCGGACAGCCUGGGUGAUGUCGCUGGUGGUGCAGAUACUAACGAACAAAAUCUUGCAACGGGAGGUGGUUACGAGAGUCCACCGAGAAAAAGUCAACAUAAAUCGACACGAAAAGCUCCAGAAGCCCACUACGAUCCGGUCCACUUCUGUACACCUCUGGGAUCUAUCUCUCCAGAGAACCACGUCGGCAACUCUGUACUGUUGAGCUCCGCC